ACGGAAGGCAGCAGUGGGGAAUAUUGCACAAUGGAGGAAACUCUGAUGUAGCAACGCCGCGUGAAGGAUGAAGGUCUUCGGAUCGUAAACUUCUGUCCUUAGGGAAGAUAAUGACGGUACCUUUGGAGGAAGCCCCGGCUAACUACGUGCCAGCAGCCGCGGUAAUACGUAGGGGGCAAGCGUUAUCCGGAAUUAUUGGGCGUAAAGAGUGCGUAGGUGGUUACCUAAGCAGGGGGUGAAAGGCAUUGGCUUAACCAAUGUUAGCCCCCUGAACUGGGCUACUUGAGUGCAGGAGGGGAAAGCGGAAUUCCUAGUGUAGCGGUGAAAUGCGUAGAUAUUAGGAAGAACACCAGAGGCGAAGGCGGCUUUCUGGACUGUAACUGACACUGAGGCACGAAAGCGUGGGGAGCAAACAGGAUUAGAUACCCUGGUA
rnacentral:rRNA from 1 species